rnacentral:rRNA from 1 species
AUUGAACGCUGGCGGCAGGCUUAACACAUGCAAGUCGAGCGGAGCGAGGGUGCUUGCACCUUAGCUUAGCGGCGGACGGGUGAGUAAUGCUUAGGAAUCUGCCUAUUAGUGGGGGACAACAUUCCGAAAGGAAUGCUAAUACCGCAUACGCCCUACGGGGGAAAGCAGGGGAUCUUCGGACCUUGCGCUAAUAGAUGAGCCUAAGUCGGAUUAGCUCGUUGGUGGGGUAAAGGCCUACCAAGGCGACGAUCUGUAGCGGGUCUGAGAGGAUGAUCCGCCACACUGGGACGGAGACACGGCCCAGACUCCGACGGGAGGCAGCAGUGGGGAAUAUUGGACAAUGGGCGGAAGCCUGAUCCAGCCAUGCCGCGUGUGUGAAGAAGGACUUUUGGUUGUAAAGCACUUUAAGCGAGGAGGAGGCUACUUAGAUUAAUACUCUGGGAUAGUGGACGUUACUCGCGGAAUAAGCACCGGCUAACUCUGUGCCAGCAGCCGCGGUAA